GCCGGCGAAGCUCCACUGGCAGAGCGUCGCACUCGUAACGCGAAGGGGCGGGUUCGAUUCCCGCCGCCGGCU
rnacentral:tRNA from 1 species